GGAAGGAUCAUUAUCGUACAACAGAGGCACGAGGGCUGUCGCUGACCUGUCAGGGUCGUGCACGCCCAAAGUGUACUCGCCCAUCCAUCUCACCCCUUUUGUGCAUCAUCGCGUGGGCCCCCCCUCCUCUCUAGGCUAGUCUCGGAGAAAGGGUGGUUCACGUUUUUCACACAAACACAUACAUGUAUUAGAAUGGCUUUUGCGAUGACUCGCAAUAAAAUACAACUUUCAACAACGGAUCUCUUGGCUCUCGCAUCGAUGAAGAACGCAGCGAAAUGCGAUACGUAAUGUGAAUUGCAGAAUUCAGUGAAUCAUCGAAUCUUUGAACGCACCUUGCGCCCCUUGGCAUUCCGAGGGGCACGCCCGUUUGAGUGUCGUGACAUUCUCAAAGCCCUUUCUUUGAAUGGACUUUGGACUUUGGAGGUUUUUAUUUGCUGGCCUCACUUCACUUUUGAGGUCAGCUCCUCUCAAAUGCAUUAGUGGGGAACAGCUUUGCGGGAAACCCUCGACGUGAUAGGAUGCUUCUGCUGCGUCUUGGGCCUUUUCGCUUUACACCCACUUCUAAACCGUCAGCUUUCCUCAUUCAUUUUGGGGAGGGCUUUUGACCUCACGAAAACCUUGACCUCAAAUCGGGUGAGACUACCCGCUGAACUUAAGCAUAUCAAUAAGCGGAGGAAAAGAAACUAACAAGGAUUCCCCUAGUAACUGCGAGUGAAGCGGGAAAAGCUCAAAUUUAAAAUCUGGUGGUCUUUGGCCAUCCGAGUUGUAAUCUAGAGAAGCGUCUUCCGCGCUGGACCGUGCACAAGUCUCCUGGAAUGGAGCGUCAUAGAGGGUGAGAAUCCCGUCUUUGGCACGGACGCACCAGGGCUAUGUGAUGCGCUCUCGAAGAGUCGAGUUGUUUGGGAAUGCAGCUCAAAAUGGGUGGUGAACUCCAUCUAAAGCUAAAUAUUGGCGAGAGACCGAUAGCGAACAAGUACCGUGAGGGAAAGAUGAAAAGCACUUUGGAAAGAGAGUGAAACAGUACGUGAAAUUGUUGAAAGGGAAACGCUUGAAGUCAGUCGCGUCGACCGAGACUCAGCCUCGCCACGGCUUGGCGUAUUUCUCGGCCGACGGGUCAGCAUCAAUUUUGCCCCUCGGAUAAUGGCAAGGGAAAGGUGGCACCUUCACGGGUGUGUUAUAGUCCCCUGUCGCAUGCGAGGGUCGGGAUUGAGGAACGCAGCACGCGCCCUUUUGGGUGUCGGGGCCUUUUGGCUCACGCGACGUGCUUAGGAUGCUGGCGUAAUGGCUUUAAACGACCCGUCUUGAAACACGGACCAAGGAGUCCAACAUGCCCGCGAGUGUUUGGGUGGAAAACUCAUGCGCGAAAUGAAAGUGAAAGUUGGGACCUCUGUCGUGGAGGGCACCGACGCCCGGACCAGACCUUCUGUGACGGAUCUGCGGUAGAGCGUGCAUGUUGGGACCCGAAAGAUGGUGAACUAUGCCUGAAUAGGGUGAAGCCAGAGGAAACUCUGGUGGAGGCUCGUAGCGAUUCUGACGUGCAAAUCGAUCGUCAAAUUUGGGUAUAGGGGCGAAAGACUAAUCGAACCAUCUAGUAGCUGGUUCCUGC
rnacentral:misc_RNA from 1 species